rfam:Homo sapiens chromosome 12, GRCh38 reference primary assembly.
GCCAGGUGUGGUGGUGCAUGCCUGUAAUCCUAGCUACUCAGGAGGCUGAGGCAGGGGAAUUGCUUGAACCCGGGAGACAGAGGUUGCAGUGAGCCGAGAUGGCACCACUGAACUCCAGCCUGGGCAACACAGUGAGACUCUGUCUCAA